rnacentral:rRNA from 1 species
UUUAGCUACUAGUCGGUCGUAACUUUUACGGCUGGCGAACGCAGCAAGCAACGUUUCUGGGCUUGUCUUCUUUCUUUCUUCGAAACUUGACCUCAAAUCAGGUAGGACUACCCGCUGAACUUAAGCAUAUCAAUAAGCGGAGGAAAAGAAACUAACAAGGAUUCCCCUAGUAACUGCGAGUGAAGAGGGAAGAGCUCAAAUUUUGAAUCUGGCGGUCUUCGGCCGUCCGAGUUGUAAUCUAGAGAAGCGUCUUCCGCGCUGGUCCGUGUACAAGUCUCCUGGAAGGGAGCGUCAUAGAGGGUGAGAAUCCCGUCUUUGACACGGACUACCAGUGCUAUGUGAUGCGCUCUCGACGAGUCGAGUUGUUUGGGAAUGCAGCUCAAAAUGGGUGGUAAAUUCCAUCUAAAGCUAAAUACAGGCGAGAGACCGAUAGCGAACAAGUACCGUGAGGGAAAGAUGAAAAGAACUUUGGAAAGAGAGUUAAACAGUACGUGAAAUUGCUGAAAGGGAAACGCUUGAUGUCAGUCGCGUCGUCCGGGGAUCAACCUUGCUUCUCGCUGGGUGCAUUUCCUGGUCGACGGGUCAGCAUCAGUUUCCGUCGCCGUACAAUGGCAAGGGGAACGUGGCACUCUUCGGGGUGUGUUAUAGCCUCGCGUCGUAUGCGGUGGUAGGGACUGAGGAACUCGGCACGACUUCCG